rnacentral:misc_RNA from 1 species
UGGUUCUGGCAUCGAUGAAGAACGCAGCGAAAUGCGAUAAGUAAUGCGAAUUGCAGAAUUUCCGUGAGUCAUCGAAUCUUUGAACGCACAUUGCGCCCAUUGGUAUUCCGAUAGGCAUGCCUGUUCGAGCGUCAUUAUCCUCUCUCAAACCCCCCGGGUUUGGCGUUGGACCCUUGUUGCCGCCCUGUGCGCAACUGGUCUCAAAGACAAUGACGGCGUCCGUGGGGACCCUCUUCGCAACGAGUUCUCUAGGGAGCACGCGUCGAGUUUCAAGGACCCCCCGGGCCGGUCUUACCUAUUUACAUUUUUCAGGUUGACCUCGGAUCAGGUAGGAAUACCCGCUGA